rnacentral:misc_RNA from 1 species
UACGGACCGGACAAACGUUAUUCGGAAUCACUGGGCUUAAAGAGUACGUAGGCGGCCCUCCAAGUUGGGUGUGAAAGCCCUCGGCUCAACCGAGGAAUUGCGCCCAAAACUGUAGGGCUUGAGGAAGGUAGAGGUGAGCGGAACUGAUGGUGGAGCGGUGAAAUGCGUUGAUAUCAUCAGGAACACCAGUGGCGAAGGCGGCUCACUGGGCCUUUUCUGACGCUGAGGUACGAAAGCUAGGGGAGCAAACGGG